rnacentral:rRNA from 1 species
UACAUGGGGUGCAACCGUUGCUCGGAAUUAUUGGGCGUAAAGCGCGCGUAGGCGGUUACUCAAGUCGGAUGUGAAAGCCCUCGGCUUAACUGAGGAAGUGCACCCGAAACUGAGUGGCUAGAGUACGAAAGAGGGUCGCGGAAUUCCCGGUGUAGAGGUGAAAUUCGUAGAUAUCGGGAGGAACACCGGUGGCGAAGGCGGCGACCUGGGUCGAUACUGACGCUGAUGCGCGAAAGCGUGGGGAGCAAACAGG